rnacentral:rRNA from 1 species
CCUACGGGAGGCAGCAGGAGGGAAUGGUCGGCAAUGGGCGCAAGCCGGAACGAGCGAGGCCGCGGGAGUGAAGAAGGCCUUCGGGUCGUAAAGCUCUGUUGCGGGGGAAAAAGGCAGCAUCAGGAAAUGGGUGCUGACUGACGGUUCCCCGCCAGAAAGUCACGGCUAACUACGGGCCAGCAGCCGCGGUAAUACGUAGGUGGCGAGCGUUAGCCGGAAUGAUUGGGCGUAAAGGGUGCGCAGGCGGUCCUGCAAGUCUGGAGUGAAACGCAUGAGCUCAACUCAUGCAUGGCUUUGGAAACUGGAGGACUGGAGCGCAGGAGAGGGCGGUGGAACUCCAUGUGUAGCGGUGAAAUGCGUAGAUAUAUGGAAGAACACCAGUGGCGAAGGCGGCCGCCUGGACUGUUACUGACGCUGAGGCACGAAAGCGUGGGGAGCAAAUAGGAUUAGAUACCCGUGUAGUC